AUUAAAGUUGCUGCAGUUAAAAAGCUCGUAGUUGGAUUUCGGAUAAUAAAAAUUUAAUAUCCAUCCUUAAAAUGUGAUUUAAUUUUUAUUUCCUUCCUUUUGAAUACACUCCCUAAACUUUUUUAGGGAAUCAAGUGUUUCAAAUCGUUUACUGUGAAGAAAUUAGAGUGUUCAAAGCAGGCGUAACCUAGCCUUUGAAUAUAUUAGCAUGGGAUAAUGAAAUAGGACUUUAGUCCUACUUUCGUUGGUUUCUAGGGCUGAAGUAAUGAUUAAUAGGGAUAGUUGGGGUCACUAGUAUUUAAUUGUCAGAGGUGAAAUUCUAAGAUUUAUUAAAGACUAACUACUGCGAAAGCAUUUGACAAGGAUGUUUUCAUUAAUCAAGAACGAAAGUUGGGGGUUCGAAGAUGAUCAGAUACCGUCGUAGUCUCAACCAUAAACUAUGCCGACCAAGGAUCCGGGGUUGUUAAUAUGGAUGACUCUCCGGGCACUUAUAGAGAAAUCAUAAGUAUUUGGGCUCCGGGGGGAGUAUGGUCGCAAGGCUGAAACUUAAAGGAAUUGACGGAAGGGCACCACAAGGAGUGGAACCUGCGGUUUAAUUUGACACAACACGGGGAAACUUACCAGGUCCAGACACAGUGAGGAUUGACAGAUUGAGAGUUCUUUCUUGAUUCUGUGAGUGGUGGUGCAUGGCCGUUUCUAGUUGGUGGAGUGAUUUGUCUGGUUAAUUCCGUUAACGAACGAGACCUUAACCUAUUAAAUAGUUGUUUGAACUUGAUUUUUUAAAUCAAAUGUUCAAUUAACUUCUUAGAGGGACUCUUCACUGAGAGAGUGAAUGGAAGUUUGAGGCAAAAACAGGUCUGUGAUGCCCUUAGAUGUUCUGGGCCACACGCGCGUUACACUGACAUAUUCAACGAGCAUUAUCCUUGCCCGUCGGGGUUGGGUAAUCUUUUAAAUGUAUGUCGUGCUGGGGAUAGAUCAUUGUAAUUAUUGGUCUUGAACGAGGAAUUCCUAGUAAGUGCGAGUCAUCAACUCGCGCUGAUUACGUCCCUGCCCUUUGUACACACCGCCCGUCGCUCCUACCGAUUGAAUGGUCCGGCGAGAACUCAGGAUGGAUAUGGAAUUUGGACCCGUUAGGUGUUCCAACCAUAUCCAGAAUUUGUUCAAACCUUACCAUUUAGAGGAAGGAGAAGUCGUAACAAGGUUUCCGUAGGUGAACCUGCGGAAG
rnacentral:rRNA from 1 species